rnacentral:pre_miRNA from 2 species
UCUUACAGAUGAGCAAAGAAAGUGGUUUACUGAAAUGGAAACUACUCCUGGUGAAGAUGCUGUGAA